rnacentral:tRNA from 1 species
GCCGCUAUAGCUCACUGGUAGAGCGCUGGUCUCGUAAACCAGAGGCCGUGAGUUAAAUCCUCACUGGCGGCA